rnacentral:rRNA from 1 species
UACGGAGGGUGCGAGCGUUGUCCGGAAUCACUGGGCGUAAAGGGUGCGUAGGCGGGUCUUUAAGUCAGGGGUGAAAUCCUGGAGCUCAACUCCAGAACUGCCUUUGAUACUGAAGAUCUUGAGUUCGGGAGAGGUGAGUGGAACUGCGAGUGUAGAGGUGAAAUUCGUAGAUAUUCGCAAGAACACCAGUGGCGAAGGCGGCUCACUGGCCCGAUACUGACGCUGAGGCGCGAAAGCGUGGGGAGCGAACAGG